rnacentral:rRNA from 1 species
CCUACGGGAGGCUGCAGUGGGGGAUAUUGCACAAUGGGGGGAACCCUGAUGCAGCGACGCCGCGUGGGUGAAGAAGCGCCUCGGCGCGUAAAGCCCUGUCAGCAGGGAAGAAAAUGACGGUACCUGAAGAAGAAGCCCCGGCUAACUACGUGCCAGAAGCCGCGGUAAUACGUAGGGGGCAAGCGUUAUCCGGAUUUACGGGGUGUAAAGGGGGCGCAGAGGGCGAUGCAAGCCAGGAGUGAAAGCCCGGGGCCCAACCCCGGGACUGCUCUUGGAACUGCGUGGCUAGAGUGCAGGAGGGGCAGGCGGAAUUCCUGGUGUAGCGGUGAAAUGCGUAGAUAUCAGGAGGAACACCGGUGGCGAAGGCGGCCUGCUGGACUGCAACUGACGUUGAGGCCCGAAAGCGUGGGGAGCAAACAGGAUUAGAUACCCUAGUAGUC